UAUAGAGGUCUCAAGCGUUGUUCGGAUUCAUUGGGCGUAAAGGGUGUGUAGGUGGCGCGCUAAGUCGGGUGUGAAAUUUCGGAGCUUAACUCCGAAACUGCAUUCGAUACUGGCGUGCUUGAGGACUGGAGAGGAGACUGGAAUUCAUGGUGUAGCAGUGAAAUGCGUAGAGAUCAUGAGGAAGACCAGUGGCGAAGGCGGGUCUCUGGACAGUUCCUGACGCUGAGGCACGAAGGUCAGGGGAGCAAACGGG
rnacentral:rRNA from 1 species